UGGCUCAGUGGUAGAGCACUUGCCUUGCAUGCAUGUGGCCCUGGGUUCGAUUCCUCAG
rnacentral:tRNA from 1 species